UAAAAAAAAAAAAUUAAGAAAAGGAGAGCAGGUGAAACCCCUGGAAAAGGAGAACAGGUGAAACCCUUGAACAGGAGAUUAGGUGAAACCCCUAAAAAAAAAAAUUGUUCAAAAAAAAGGAGAGCAGGUGAAACCCCUGGAAAAAAAAAAAGAUAAAAAAUUUAAAAAAAGGAGAGCAGGUGAAACCCCUGGAAAAGGAGAACAGGUGAAACCCUUGAACAGGAGAUUAGGUGAAACCCCUAAAAAAAAAAAUUGUUCAAAAAAAAGGAGAACAGGUGAAACCCCUGAACAGGAGAUCAGGUGAAACCCCUGAAACAAAUCCGUCUAUCACACAAUUCAAGACAGUAGACCUUGCACCUUGCACGAAAGCUUGGUUGAGUAAAAAAGAAUUGUGGGUAGCAAACUAAAAAAUUUUUAAAAGGAGAACAGGUGAAACCCCUGAACAGGAGAUCAGGUGAAACCCCUGAAACAAAUCAGUCCAUCACACAAUUCAAGACAGUAGACCUUGCACCUUGCACGAAAGCUUGGUUGAGUAAAAAAGAAUUGUGGGUAGCAAACUAAAAAAUUUUAAAAAGGAGAACAGGUGAAACCCCUGAACAGGAGAUCAGGUGAAACCCCUGAAACAAAUCAGUCUAUCACACAAUUCAAGACAGUAGACCUUGCACCUUGCACGAAAGCUUGGUUGAGUCAAAAAGAAUUGUGGGUAGCAAACGGAAAAAAUAAAAAAAAGGAGAACAGGUGAGACCCCUGAACAGGAGAUCAGGUGAAACCCCUGAAACAAAUCAGUCUAUCACACAAUUCAAGACAGUAGACCUUGCACCUUGCACCUUGCACGAAAGCUUGGUUGAGUAAAAAAGAAUUGUGGGUAGCAAACUAAAAAAUUUAAAAAAGGAGAACAGGUGAAACCCCUGAACAGGAGAUCAGGUGAAACCCCUGAAACAAAUCAGUCUAUCACACAAUUCAAGACAUUAGACCUUGCACCUUGCACGAAAGCUUGGUUGAGUCAAAAAGAAUUGUGGGUAGCAAACGAAAAAAAUAAAAAAAGGAGAACAGGUGAGACCCCUGAACAGGAGAUCAGGUGAAACCCCUGAAACAAAUCAGUCUAUCACACAAUUCAAGACAGUAGACCUUGCACCUUGCACGAAAGCUUGGUUGAGUCAAAAAGAAUUGUGGGUAGCAAACGAAAAAAAUAAAAAAAAGGAGAACAGGUGAGACCCCUGAACAGGCGCACAGGUGAAACCCACUGUAAAACCGGCGAAGAGGUGAAACCCCUCAACAAGCACACAGGUGAAACUCCUGUUAAGUUAGUAAAAAAAGGAGAACAGGUGAAACCCCUGAAACCAAGAAAGUCUACCCCACAAUUCACGACAGUAGACCUUGCACCUUGCACGAAAGCUUGGUUGAGUCAAAGAGAAUUGUGAGGACUGGUAGCAAAAAACUAGUUAACGAGAUAAACGAGAUAACGAGAUAACGAGAUUAACAAGAAUAACGAUAAAAACAAAUAAAAUAACAAGAAAAACAAAAACAAAAAAAAUUAAAAAAGAAAGCGGAGAACAGGUGAAACCCCUGAAAAGGAGAUGAGGUGAAACCCCCCAAACAAAGCAAAAACAAAAACAAAACAGAAGAAAAAAGAGAAAAUAAAGACGUGUACUUCAUUAUUUGACUGUAAAGUGUUUCUUUCUUAUGAGUUUGAAAAAUUACAAAGAGAGUGAAUAAAAUUGGAGUCAAGAGGACAAGUGGUGUUGAGUAAUCUGAAAGAGUUUAUUUUACUAAGGUUAUUUUUCUUUUAGGAUAGCAGAGUGAGGAAUAUAUAAUUAAGAGAAUAACAUUUAGAAGUUUAGAGACUCUCAAGAGAAAGAAGUGAGUAAUAAAUUAUAUAUACUGAAAAAGGAGACGAGAAUUUAUAUCCAAUUAAGUCUAGAGAUACAGCUGGGCUUGAAUCGUUGAGGAAAGAGUAUUUGAUUAUUUACAGAGUUUUUAGAGGGAAAAAAAGGUGAGGAGAAUUGAAGUAAUAGGAGUAAGUUGUAAUUACAAGUUAGCUUGAGUGGUUGUGAAGAAAAUAUUGAUUAAAAAGUGUUUAGAUUGAAAGUAAAGAUGUGAGCUUGAUUAGGUAGAGUAUUGUGAAUAAAAUUGAAGUCUAGGAAACAAGGUUGAGAAGUACUAGUGGACUUAAUAAUUUCAGAGGAUAUUUGAUCAAAUAUAUUUCUUAUUUAAGGAAGAAAUAAGGCUGGUUAAUCAGAAAAUAAGUGAUCAAAAUUGUGCUAAGAGACAAAAGGCUAGAGGUUUACAACUUUUGCAAACAAGAAAAAAAGUGGCCUUGAUAUAUUAUAAACACAGUUUGUAAAUUGAGAAUAAUUGAAGCUUAUGAGAUCCAGAUAAACAAGUAGGCUCGAGUAGUUCCAGAGAGGGUAUUUUAUCAUUUGCAGAGUUUGAUGAAAAGAAGCACACCUGAUAUAAAAGAAUAAGGCUCAGAAGUUCAUAGAUUCAUAAGAAAGAAGUGACUGAUGAACUAUACUGAAAAAAGAUAUGAGCCUCUAAUGGAAGCAGAUGAUGAUGAUGAUGAUGAUGAUGACAAUAGCAAUAAGAACAUCAAAACCUUCAAGCAGACAAGGCAAGUUAAGGGAGCAAGGAAGAGAUGUCAAAAGGGAGGAGAAUGUUUAUCUGAUAUCUUAGAAAAGCAAGAAGGAAAGAAUAAAGGGUACCAACAAGAACCCAAACACCAACAAUGUGAUAACUCCUCUUGGGGAUUACUGCCUGACUUGCGGUUAUUAGACCGCUUUUCAUCUAAUGAUUUGGGACCAUGUAGGAGUGUGCAUAGUGUACAAAGCCAUUCAUUUAUGCAGUUUCACUCCAUUGGAGUUCGAAUGUUCAUUGUUGAUGGAACUAGCUGGAUUGUGAUGAUUUCUGGGUUUUCUACGAAGAUUGCAGUGUUGGGUACCGGAAUCUGACCCUAGAAAGUGAUUGUUUUGGUCCUUGGUAUGGUUUUUAACCUGUAUCUGCCCUAGUCGGAGGUUUUUUCUUUUCCAAUUUGUUAUAUACUGAACAACUGUUGUGCUCAAGUGGGAAAUUAAAUUCCGCUCACAACCUACAACUCUCGUCGUAUCGUGUCUUGUGUUCUGGAGUGUCCUGACAACUUCCCCCAAAAAUCCAGAAUACUACAUUAUGUCAGUUCAAAGUUUUUCUGUAUUCAGCAAAACAGUUAUAUACACAUCAUGCUUUGUAUGCAAUUUAGAAAGUGAUGACAUCAAGUCACUAUUUCUUUUGUAUUUUUAUUAAAUAAAAUAUGAAAUAUUUCAUUUUUUUCCUCCUUAGAAAACAAACCAAGUUUGAUUCUAUUCUCACAUUCUUCAUAAACCAUUGAUAAAACCUGUUGUGAAGAAAUUAAGUGUAUCUGUGUUAUCAUAUUUUCAAAAACAUGAAAUUUGGUAUGAUUUAUGUAAUAAAAUGCAAAAGAAGUAGUGAGUAUGUGACAUCAUCAACUCAUUGAUUUGGACAUGACCACGAUUUGGUUAUAACUGUUUUGUAUAAGAUAACCAAUAUUUUAAAAUUACAUUACUUUCUUAUUUUCCAUGCAAUUUGUAUUAAGUGUGUGACAUAAUGUUUCCUAGAUUGUCCUCUUUUGGUUCAAAUCAAUUUUUGUUGGGGGUGGACUACUCCUUUAAGGAAAGUGUCUUAAAUUGGUUACUUAUGUUACAUUUUUGUAUUGUUUUAUAUUAUCCAUUUACUACUGUUUUAUUUGUCACUGCACUUGAGUGUUUCGUGAUUACCAAUGUAUUCAGAUAAUUGGAAAUUCAGUUUUGCUGUUGUGAUUCUUUUGUGAAAUGGUGAUUGAAUGUAAAAAAGAAAAUUUGCAUCCAUUUUAGAUUUCAGUUCAUAUGUCUGCCUUUUGGAGAAACAGUUACCUGACUAGAUUUCAAAGUGUGAAGAUUGAAGGUCUAUAGUGUUUUUUUGUUCAUGGAAAUAGAAAGUAAGAAAUAUUUUUCUGGUCGGGCAGUGGCGGAGGCAUACAUUUUGACCGUGCACAGUCGAGAUUUAUCUACUUUUCAAUGAGAAUUGUGGCAACAUCAUUUUAAUCACCAAAAAACAUAGAUUGUUUUGACUGAGUAAAAGUAGAAAUAAUGACACAUUUAUGAAUUUUGGGAGAAAAGUUUAUUUGAUUUGUUUUGAUCAUUACAGCAUUUUAAAGCCUGACAGUCAUUUACAUAAUAUUGCAUAACUUGAGAACCACAUAUAUGAAUUUGAUAUGGAACAAUGUGCAAAGCUUGUAUGUAAAUUGUGUUGAACCACUGUGUUGAUGAGUUCUCAACAUUGUCAGUUUUCACAGUUGAUUUAACACCACAAAAAAUUAAGCCAGUUAUAUUUAAAGAGAUCUUCAUUACCAAUUGACCUGCGUGAAUGGUAAAACAUCCCACUAUUCAUAAAGGAAAGUUAUUAUUUUAGUUUCUCUUUAUACAUCAGUAACUGACAUUGUCUAAAGCAAGCUAAAGAAUUUUUAUUCCUCUGCUCAUCAAAAGUGGUUGCCGGUGGCAUUAUGUUUUGGAUUAUCCGUCUGUUCGUCCAUCCGUUCAUCUGUCUGUUCAUUCCAUUUUUGUUCUCGCAGUAACUCAAAAACCAUUUCACAGAUCAACUUCAACUUGGACCAUAUAUGCAUUAGGUGCUCAAAAUGAUUUCACACAUGCGUAUGCAUGUAUGUAUCGUUAGAAAAAAAUUAAUAUUCAUAUUCUGUUGGUACAUGAUCUCAUUAUUUAGGGUUAACAGAUCAAGGUCAAGGUCAGAAAGUUCAAGCAAGUACAUAAUAAAUACUCUGUUCUUGCUACAACUCAAAAACAGUUUCAUGGAUUCACUUGAAACUUGAAUCCUGUAUGGAAUGGCGGUGAAGAAGAUCUCAUCAGUUUAAAGGUCAUGAGGUCAGAGGUCAAGUUCACAAAAUUAAAAAAAAAUAGAUAAAAAUACUCAUUUUUACUUUUACAAUUUUGUAGAUCAUCUUGUAACUUUGAUUGUGUAUGCAUCUGUAAUGAAUUUUUGCUUUUCGCUUAAUGGACUUUUUGCAAAAAAUAUCAAACAACAAAAAUGGUCUACUCCACCAGGCCCCCCCCCCCCCUCUUCCCAGUGAAUUGUUAAACUAAGCAUCACUUUUCUGUUUAGAUGCAGUAUUUUGCAAUAAUACAUUAUAUGAAUGAAACUUUAUGUAUGUAGUCUGUGUAUGUAUUUAGGAUCCCUAUGAUAUUGGAAUAACAAUGUAAGCCCAAGCCUUCAGGGCUUUGGGUAACAGUUAAAAUGCUGUGAACCUUUUAAUUUGAUUAUUAUGAAUUAUUUGUUGAUCAUUGUUAUUGUAUUUAUAUUUUCUUUUUUAUGUUCAGAAAUCUGUCAUUAUCUUUUAUGGCUUUUGAUUGUACAAAUAAAGAUAGAAAAUAAAAAUACUAAAGAGUA